rnacentral:lncRNA from 1 species
GAAGACAAAGCUGGCGACUCUGCCUAAGCGAGGUCCUCAACUCUUCUCUCUGCUUGCCCAAAACUGAUCUGCAUAGAGGUAAUCGUUGCGAAAUUGAAAAUGGGUCCAGCCUCCAUGAUGUAAUGGUCACCAAAUUGAGUGGAAUUUAGUUUGAUUUGUUGGAAUUGUGUGAACGACGACAUUUGAGUUGGUGGAGAAAGGAAGUGUAAAGAGG